CUGCGGUCCACGGCGCCGGGCCGCAUGGAGGGGCUGAGCAGGCUGCCCCCGCCGCACCUGCCAAGAAGGCGCCCUCUGAGUGGCUGCCGCGACGAGGGGCCGAAGGGCAUCAGCGGCUCGGGCUCCCCGCGGGGCGGGAGCAGCGGGGCCAGCAGGCUGACUGGCUUGCCGGCCGGCCAAUCGGGGCGGCCCGCCAGCCGGGUGCCCUUCGGUGAUUGGUCGGCGGCCGAGGCGACGGGACGGACGGCGUCCCCCGGCGUCAGCUGCAUGAGGGGAGGGGGCUUCGGCAGGGAGAACGGCAGCGGCUGCGGGGAGGCCGUGGCCGCCGCCGCCGCCGAGUCCCCUCCGGACAUCCUGGCCGCCGGGCCCGCCGCCGGGAGCCCUUUCCCGCCUGCCCUGGCGGCCGCCGGCCGGGGACGGCGAGGAGCGGGCGGAUAGAGAGAGAAAGGGAGGCCCCGCGGCGGAGCCGAGUAGAGAAAGCGGCGGCCGGCCGGCGGCGGAGAGCAACGGCCUCGCCACGGCCCCCCCGCGCGGCGCCGGCUUGGUAUGCGCCGGGCUGCGGCAGCGCGGCAAGGCGGGCGCGGCCCCCGGCAUCGCCGCGCCGUGGUAGGCGCCUCCGGGGGCGGGCUGUGGCCCGGCUCGGGGAGCGGAGCCUGCCGGUACUCGUGCGGCCCUGCGGGGCUGUCCGUCUCCGGGUCGCUCCUUUGCAGCUCUUCCCGCUUCGGCUUUUCCUUCGUGUUCGCGCAGCGCUCUGUUGGCGGGGCUGACGGACAAAGGGCGGUGUGGGAGCGGGGUUGUCGGGCUGAGCCUGGCGGGGCAGCUGCCUGAUGUGCGCCCGUCUGACUCCUGUGCCGGGGAGAGCUGUGGAGAAAGGCGAGGCUUUGUGCUUUGGAGCCCCGUCCUGCGGCCUCGCUGGGCUGUGAGGGGCCCGUCCUGUGCUGGGGAGGGCGUGGGAGAGCACAGGGAGACCAGCGGCAGGGAGAGCUGCAGGUUGGCAUAACGGCCCUGCGGGUUUAACUGAAACGAGGGGUGAAACGCCACUCUUAGUUCUUCAGUGAAGUGCUACAGCACAUAACGUUGGAUUUCUUUCAUAUAGCUUGUUAUAAGAACAUACGUUGUAUAAUCAAUGAGUAUAUAGACGUAAAAUCAGUGACAAUACAGAGAAGAAUACUGGGCUUACCAAAAAAAAGACUCCACGAGGAGCCAUCUCCAGGGAGAGACCCCUCCCCAGCGGCAGUCAGCCCUGGAAUGGGCUCUAGCAGAGGUGCAGCCUGGCUGCAGCCCUUCCACUCACACAGCUCAACUGCCUUCACCUGUGCUCCCACGGCUGACUCAGCGCUCGCCUCAGGUGGUCAAUCAGAGGUUCAGGCCGUGAUUCAACAGUUCCUGUACAUACAUCCACUGAAAAACGUGGAGUUUAUGCAGAUAAAAGCCACAUGCGUUGUGGUAACUGCCUUUUUACUUGUGUAUCUACAGGGAGCAGCACGCCAGCACUGUUUCCUAGAACCUGUCGCUUACUGUGCAGGUGAGCUCAGUGUAACUGCGUCUGUAGUUUCUCAUAAUCGGUUGUGACUGUGGCCCUUUAGAUGUGCUCUCCAAAAGAAGCACUGCUAGAAGUGUGAUGGCUUCCAAAUGUGGAAGCAUUUCUGCAGGUGUCCUGCUCUUGUCUUUUAACAAGUCUGUUCAACAGUAGGCCUAAGUUCCCUUCUGCUACCAAAAUCCAGGAAUGAAACUUGACGACGUGAAUGACAGAUUAGGAAGCAGAUAUUACUUUAUUGCAGUGCUUGGUGCGUGAGGGAUUGCUCCUCACCAUCUGAAAGCACACAGAUUUUGUAUGCUUUAAUACACAAAUAUUCAUAGGGUUUCCUCAGAGUGCCCACCUAGUCCCAGAAUUGCUAUACAUAUUAAAAUCUGGUACUAUGCAUAAACCCAUGUUAGUGUGGUUUUUUUGCAAGGGGGCCUGUGGUGGUUGUGAGGUUCCACUGGGAGGUGCUAUCCAGGUGAAGGGUUGUCUGUUAUGUAGGCCAGGUCCUGUACUUGGUCAAGAACCUAUUUACAAAACCAUGACCGUUGACUUAGUUUCUAAUGAGCACAUCAAUCUUGUUACAGUGCUUGUAUCAUCAGCCCUACAGUGUACCUCCUCAAGGCUGGUGAAAUGCUGAGGCUCUACUUUUAGGCUCCAGAAGUCCUGCUUAUCUAGGACAGAGUCUUCUCUAGACAAAAUACCAGUCGGCUGAAGAGUUUGAACUCAUUGCUAAAGGCUCUGAACUUAUUGCCAGGUAUGAAUAUGAGGAUUUAUAGGGUUUUUGCAAGAUGGGAUCCCACAAAGAUCGCAAGCUAUCAUUUGUGACUGCAGCGAGACUGUACUGCUGCAGUGGUAUUCUUUGAGGGGAACCUGAAAUCUGCUGAUAGAAAUGGUUUCUCUGCCACUAGUUUUCAUUAAAGCCAAAUGUAUCUGUGAAGUUAAUUCAUUAUCUCAUAGUAAAGAACAGCUCACACACGUAAGCUGAAUUUGUUUUGUGAAAUGCACAGAUUAUUUUGCUUACAGGGUUUUAAAAUAUACUGUCUCCAGGCUGAACAAAUGCCUAGUUUCACUGGGCCCAGGUGAGAACAUCUGAUUAGGAGUUCUCAUCUAAAUAAGGUAUGAAAUUCCCAGCCAGCUCUCCAGUGAGGGCUGAAUACAUGUGAAGAGAGCAGCAAAAUGUGUGUACCUCCAUCGAAUCUCUGUAGGUAAGCAUUAUCUUGACACUUUCAGCUGGUUUUCAGAGGUGUAUUAAGAACAGCUUAAAGAUACAAAGCACAUUUUCACAUUCUUGUUUGAAAGAUGGACACAGAAGUAUUAUGCAGGUGGUACUUGAACCACAUCCCUUGGCUUCUAACCUUCACUGUCUUUUUGGUCGAGCCUCAGUUAUAAUUUUACUAAGAAAUAUAUUGAAUAUGCUCAAAUUGAUGUUAACUUCCAUUGUCACCAAAGGAGGGCAUUUAAAACCGUGAAUACUAUCACAGGAAGACUGAGCUGUUGAUUUGUAACGGUGAUUUUGCUUUAAUAUGCACUUCUGCCACGUUGAAGUUCUCUAAGUUUAAUCGCUGUGUGAUAAGAAGAGGCAGCUUGUAGACAGGAUAUUAAACCUUGAUUUCUAUCAUACCAAACAAUUGCUGUAUCUUCACCACUUCUUAAAACUGACAUCCUUUCCUUUCAGGUUGACGUGUCCUACUGUAUUAUUUAAGACUUGAUUAUUGCAGUUGAAAUUGGGUUGUUUUUUUUUAGUGCAAAACUAUGUACUUUAAUGGCUGUAUUUCAUCCAUCUUCACUGUGAAUCUGAAUCUAACUUGAUGUCUCACAAACUGCCCAGUUGAUGCUUUCCUGGCCAGGUUUCCAUGUGAACAGGGUGAGCACACAGCUAUGUAGUGUGUCACCAAUCCAAUUGCAGGCAGCACAGUGCUUGGGAAAAGCUUUACCUGGUGUUCAUCAUGAGUAGGAGUCGUCCCCACCUGUGAAGCCUGGGUUCCUGAUGGAGAAGUUGCUGAUCCUCCUCACCUGUGUCAUCUGAGUGGUUUAGAGGAAUCAUGCCAUCGGACACAGAUCAGUAAUGCUUGUUGCUUGAUCCAACUGCUGUAUAGCUGAUGAAUUCAUGGAUUUAAGACAAAUAAUCCGUAUUUCAUUACUAGCAAGUGCUAGAAAUAAAAAUGUACUCUGCACUAUUGCUUGGAAAAACAAAUCCUGAAGUCGUAAGAGAGGAUUAAAGUUGGAAAAAAAUCUCUCAAGAGAAAAACGAAGGGAGUAAUGACAUCUGCUUAGCAGCAUCCAGCCCCUCAGCCUGCAGCACGGACCUCUGGAGCCCUUACACACGGAAUAAAAGGGGAUGCAGUGAGUGAGGAGCAGCAGAACUGCAAGCAGAGCAGCGCUACUGGUGUAAGAUGGCAUUAGGAAGAGUGGAGUUUUGUUAAUGGGUCAUGGAAAGUAGGUUCUACCUCUCAUAAUGCAAACUGUCUUAUUUUUGUUUCAUUUCCUUCCCAGGGUGGUGUUCUACCAUGGCAGUAAACAAAGCCAUCGGUUGCAGACUUCUGCACCAAUUCAGGUGGCUCCAUUGAAGGUGUAAGAUUGGAGGUGUGAGGUUUCUCAGCAGUGGGACGUUACCACCUAGCUGUGAGCUGGCUUUGCUCUGGUGGGCGUCCUGCUGUUCCCCCACAGUGAGCUGUGUUCUGGUUCUGUUGGAAGGCUGCCCGGUCCUUCUGCCGGGUUUAUAUUCCACUUAAACGCGUGGCUAUUCAAGUGACCAACCUUUUGGAGUGUCUCGUUUGGCUUUGCCUUAAACGUUUGCUGCUCCUACCCCUUCCCCCCUUCCUACAGAGGCCUUUUUAUAGGUGGCCUGUAGUGCCAUAUAGUUUUUGCUUAGAGUUGAGCAUUUUCCUAAGCUUAUGGGGUUAACCACGAUUAUGGGAGAGUUCUUGAAGCAUUUUUGAAUGUAAUGCUUUUAUUUAAUGUUUGUAAGCAAGUUCAAAGGUGUCAGAUACAAAUGUCCCAGUAUGGCACAAGGACGAGACGUGGCAUUGGGGAUUGGGCUGUUCUGUUGCUAGUGCACACAAAUGUGGCAAUGAACUUUUUCCCUCGUGCUUUAGAGCAUUAAAACAGCUGUUUUGGAUCAGAGCAAAGUGGGCAGCAGCUGUGGCAGUGAUCUGCCUGUGAUUAGUGGGCUCAGGCACUCGUGGAGUCACAGAUGGGCUUUGUGCUCUUAAGGGCACUGUGCUUUUAGGGCUCCCGCUUUUGCACCAGUGUGCUUCUUAAAGUGCUAAAAGUUUUCCCAGCUGGAAGUCCUCACAGCAUCACACAGCAAAGAGCUCUGGGUAUCAGCAUCCACACAAAGGCACCGCGCAGUCCGCCUGUGUUCCAAUGGGCACAAACAGCACUGAUUGCGUAUUAAAGCCAUUGUCACCAUCACAACCUGGGAGGAGAGCAGAGUGCCAGGACGCUGCAGGACCCCGAAGAUUAUGUCUUAUAAAUAAACAGCUCAAAUUUGUCUGAAGCCUCAGCGUGCGAUGUAUGGAGCGUUGCAUUCUGACCGUGUUACGCCAAGAUUGCUGCUAAUGGCUUUUGGCAGCACAGCCACCAAGUCAGAAAGCUGAGAUGAUUGCAGAUUGUCUGCUUCCAUACACAUCAUACAGCUGCCUGGAAGACGGUGGAGGCAGCGCCUAAUUGAUGUUUGUUCUUGUCAAUGCGUGAUCGGGUUUUGAUGCAAGGUUCUCCUCUUUUGUGCUCUUCUGGUCAAAUUUUCGUUUAAAUUUGUAUUCUGUGCUGAACAGUAGUGCCAGCAGAACCAUAAGCGAGGAGUUUAAAUUUAGGAUGUGUUGCAGAAAUCCAAAAAUGCUUUACUGUUUGGGUAAAAACGUUUUUGUGUUUUUUUUUCCCCUUCAGCUGCUGCUCUGCAUGCCGUAAAACAGCAAUCCGAAGGGUUUGCUCUGAAAGCAUCUCUUUGUGCCCUGGGCCAGUGACCCCACUGCUGUGCCAGUAAAUCAUGGCAAGCUGGAGGAAUCUCCCUGAUUUCUGAGCUCCUAAUCCCGCAAAGCCUGUAAAUGAUGGCUGGCUUAGCUUUGUUUCUGAUAAAACGAGGCUUAUGAGAUGAUGACAUUUGCUGCCUGUUUCUCCUCCGCUCCGUUCCGUGUCACCACCCAAGAGAUCUCUGGAGCCCAUCAGUGCAAGGCUGUGUGCCUAGUGCUACAACACUACCGCGUGCUGGAGAGCAGGGAGGAGCCUGGGUGAAUGUAUGGGAAUGAAUUUGGCUGUGUUAGCACUCCGAUCCCCUUCUGCAUGAUGUGCUUCCCCUGUUCUGCAGUGUCUGAUGCAGGUAUUGGGUCAGCCCAGUGAUGUUUGCUUCCUGGAGAGCACGCAUGGAACCUGCUGAUGGAGUUUGUUAACAGCCCCGCUGUUCCUUAAGCCAAGCUGGGUUUUUGCUUUGAUAAAACCUCUGGGCAUGGUGUGUGGCUGUACAGAGUGUGAGAACUCAGGGAGGUUCUUUACUCUGAGAGUGGCGAGGUGCUGAACAGCUGCCCAGAGAGGCUGUGGAUGCCCCGUCCAUCCCUGGAGGUGUUCAAGGCCAGGUUGGAUGGGCCCUGGGCAGCCUGGGC
rnacentral:lncRNA from 1 species